UCUUUUUAACGAAAAGAGCUCUCUCAAUGAGCAGCAUUUAGCUAAAGUUGACUUGAUAAGAGAGCCUUUCUCUGUAACCAUUUUUUUCUCUGUAGAACCUUUAUUUGAUUCCGUUACUUUGGUUUUUAAGGUUUAAAUUUUGUCAAAGUCCUAUAGUCAGAUUUCUUCUCCCAGUUUGGUUGUAUACUACAACAGAGGAGUUUGUGUUAGCUUCUGAAGUCUUUUGGAUUUUGGUUAGUUUCCAAUUUCACUUCGAUUCUUAGUAAAACAUAGGUACAUCUUCCAGCAACUUCAACUUUUGUAUUAAAUUCACUAGAAAAAAUCACUCUACCUGGGAGUUCUAGUUUGAAUUAUUUGUUACUGAAGAGGAGUUGUGGGCUCAUAUAGAUGGAUCUACUCUUGCUCCUACUAACUCUACACAAUUGGCUCAACGGAGGGCAAGAGUGAUGUCUUGGAUUACAAGCUAUUAAACAUGAGCGUCGAUAGCAAAUACGAGAAGAACUUUGAGCUCUUUAGGAAAAUCAAACAUGGGAUCUUGUCUUAUGUCUAUCUACAGCUAAGCAUAUUGCUUUUAAAUUGGUUUACUCAGUUAAACUUCAUUCUGAAUGUAUAUUUUUACAAGACUGGUGGUUGCCCUAUGGAAUCGACAGUACUAUGGGGUGGACUAUGAGAAGACAUUUCCCCAUGGCAAAAAUGACUAUUGUACGUACCCUUAUUUCAAUUUCUACUUCAUAGGGUUGGCCAUUUCACUAGAUGGAUGUCAAAGAAAAAAUAAAAAAAUUCAUGGUGAUCUCAAGGAGGACAUUUAUAUAAUCCCACCUUCUGGAUUUUUUUCCCUUCUACGUCUGAUGUAUAUAGAUUGAAGUGAUCAUUGUAUGACUUGAAAGAGGCCCCCUGUGUAUUGUUUGAGAAGUUUUGAUCUACCUUGCUCUACUUUACCUCUGUACAGAGUCAAUAUGACUACUAUUUGUUUUUUUCGCAAAACUUCUAAAGGUGUUGUCCUUUUUUGGUA